rnacentral:lncRNA from 1 species
GAGGUCUUACAAGACACACUGAUAUUUAUAUUAUUUUCAUGUUAGAAACAAAAAAAGUUUCAAAGGAAUAGGAAACAUGAGGAUAAGGUAUACUGAAGGCAUGGACUUGAACUUCUAGAAAGGCAAGUCCCUGCAGAUCGGUAUUCUCUGCUGUGCGACUUUUGCUACCUGUUUAGUUUAGUACGUCACUGAUCAAAAAGAAUAAAUUUGAACAGUGUACCAAAAAAAAAAAGCACUGGUGGUUGUACAAUUGUUUCUUAAUAGCAUUUUCUGUACAAUUGUUUCAAGGGGAUAACCAUUAACAGUUAUGCAACAAAAUUUCAGGACUGCAGAUGUGCAAGUAAAAUUCUCGUCAUAUACAUAAAUCAUGGAUCGAUCCACCUCUGUUUUUUUGCAUCAGCUAACCUGCCCCAUAUGAUCAUUUGGGUACCAAUUACAUGUCA